UUUCUCAGGGUAUCCAUGCUGGAGAUGUGAAAAAGAUACAGGAUGCAGGGAUCGACACUUGCAAAUGUCUUGAUGAUGCAUACAGAGAAGCACUUAACUAGAACCAAAGGUUUAUCUGAAGCAAAAGUUGAUAAGAUAUGCGAAUCAGCUGAAAAGAUAGUGGUUAGAGCUUAAUUUCUUCUUAUCCUGAGAUGGCGCUGUAAUCAAUUGCAACUUCUAUAUGCAUCUCACAAUAACUUCUCUUUGUUUUCAUCAGAAUUCUUGUUCUAUUGCGGGAAUUGAAGCUAUGCUCAGAGUAAGUUAUGCUCAGAAGCAAGUCGGUUAUUUGCAUCACAACUGGAAGCCAAGCCCUCAAUGAGCUUUUAGGCGGUAAUAGACUUUCUUUUGUAGAUUGUGUAUAUUAUUCUUCAUGCGUUUCAACAAAAACAACUUUCCCUGGUUCUGCAAUGUUAAACAGGUGGUACUGAAACUCAGGCAAUUACAGAAGCAUUUGGUGUAUCUCGGCGACAAGCACAGUCCAAUAAUGUUACCCUUGAUGAACUUUUAGUUGCUUUUGUUAGUUGGCUUUCUCAGAAAAUGCUGCUAACGUCACUUCAGGUCUGGGAAAACACAGCUUGCACAUACCCUGUUUGUGGCU